GUAAUUUGUUUGAUAUACAUAUAGUAGUCGCCUUCUCGGCUCUCCCGGAGCGCUUCUUCCUCGGAUUGCGAGUGCGGCAGCGCGCAGCUUUUCGAGUUCUCUCUGCCAGACUGCUUUUCAUUUUGUUUAGUUCCUUUUUGACGGCGGGCGCGUGCACAUCGCAAACAAUAUAUGAAAAGAAAUAUUUAAAAAAUACUGUUAUUGACAGUUUGCUCUUUUAAAACGUGCUGGUAUAAUUAUAACCUUUAAUGAGCUCAGUAACAAAUAAAGAAAGUGAAAUAUGUUUAUAACAAAUAAAGAGUAAAAAGAUUGUUCUACAAAUAUAGGUCAAUCGAGGGUCCAAAAGAAAUCACCACGCGCCUAAUUCGGUCGUAGGAACCCAUGUAUACUAAUAAAAAAAUUCUACCCAAAACAGCCCUAUGCGAAUGGUACAUCCGUGUAUUACAUUUUCAGAAUUUAAAGUGAAGAAACUUUAAAUUUAUUACGAAAUUUGGACUUCACGUUAAGAUUCACUGCUCCAGGGGCCUAUGCAUAACAACUAAACUAAAACAUGAAAUCAGUAAACACAUAUACAAUUCAACAUUCGAUUCAAUAAAUCUAUAGGAAAUUCCCAGAACUAAGAGAAAACACUUGACACAUUACCACUGGAGGAAAUUACGAGGAUACACUGAAUAGGCCUUAGUGUGACCGUACACUGAAAAAUUGGACCAACAUUACGGUAUUUUUUGUCCGUAAACCCUUUUUUCGAUAAGUAAAUCAAUUGGAAUAUUGAAAUGUAUUACGUGAAACUCAAUUCACUUUCACUCACUGUAAAGUUAUAGUAAUAUAAAAGGAAAAGACCACUACUAUAAUUGGGCAGUGUGACAGUUUAUGCGUCCGUGUCUGGAAUGAUUCUCCUUUUAUCUCGCUUUUACCGUUUGUCUGAAAAAUGUAGCUUGACAGGAAUUAAUAUGUUGGAUGAAUACCUGCAGUGCACCAACGGUCGAUAAAAAUAAAAGCUUGAAGUCAAGGCUUCAACCUCAUUUAACAUGUCCUGCACCAUUUCUGCUCCCUCUUCGCAGAGCACUCGUCGCCAGAAAUGCAGUGUCAUCUGCAUUUGUUGCUGCUGGAGCCACCUGCUUCUAGACUAAGGUCCGAGGAGUAGAUAAAAUAUUUGUCAUGGACCAGCACACUACCUUGUGGGACUCCAGUGGGUAUAGGCUGUGAAGCAGACUUAGACCUUCGAGCAUCCAUCUGAAAGGUUCUGUCAUCAAGGAAUGGAUGAGACUAAAGUAUGUUGGGGCAAGGAUAGGCUGAGCUCAAAAGCCGGACGGCAGCCAUCAUCUAAAUAAAUUCCGUAACAAUAAAUUUUCGCCUCCAGGACAUGAAAACCAAACUGAUGGUCCGGAAUUGCGUCCUGGAAUAGAUAAACACACCCAGAAAAAGAAAAAGAAAAAAAUCAUAUACAUUUUUCAAUCCGUUCGCUAUGUUGCAUUCAUACAAAACAAACGCCGCAUGAUUUGACCAUAAACAUUCAGGUUUAAUUAUAAACGCAUCACUGAAAAAUGCCUUGACAGAAAUGGAGAGAACACCGUUCUCUAAUUAUCAACACCGUUCAUGAAAACAUGUAUGUAGGCCUAGUGUCCCAAUUGUCCGUACUUGAAAAAUUCGUUUGGUGGACCAGCUGGUCCAGGUUCGAGUAUGCCAGAAAAAGAGUGUGAAUUAUUAGUUUUAUUAAAAUAUAAUUUCUUAUGUUUAAAUGCUCUACUAAUAAUAAAUAAAUUCUUUGUCAUCAGCAUAAUAGCCAAAGUACAUAAAUUCUAACAAUACACACACAAAAGUAAGGAAAUUAAACAAAUCUUUUACGUACUUUAUGACCCCGUUUGACUUUGAUUUUUUUUUGAGUGCACUGAAAAAACUUACGCAUCCAGUAAUAACCGUUAUUGAACACUCUUUAUUGAAAUUUAAGAAAAUAAUUCAAAUACGAUAGCACAGGUAGUCAAAAUCAAUCUUUUGGAUGUUGGGACUGGAAUUGGAAAAGAUCUUGAAAACUAUAAAAGUUUCUAGCUUUUGGAUUAAAUAUUAAGACUCUACGGAAUCCUACGAUACUCACUUAAAUGCCCUAGCAAAAAAAUGUGCCUGGCGACCACAUUUUUGAAGAUUUUCUAAUAGUGUAAAUUGGGUUCUUUGUUGUUCAAAGGAGUAGAAUAGAAUAUUUCCAAAAUGUUUCUUAAGGCAGAUCGCUUUUAGACGGACAACUAUCCUAGCUUAAACACACUUCAGA